UGCCUGUAAGACUGGGAUAACUCCGGGAAACCGGGGCUAAUACCGGAUGGUUGUUUGAACCGCAUGGUUCAAACAUAAAAGGUGGCUUCGGCUACCACUUACAGAUGGACCCGCGGCGCAUUAGCUAGUUGGUGAGGUAACGGCUCACCAAGGCAACGAUGCGUAGCCGACCUGAGAGGGUGAUCGGCCACACUGGGACUGAAACACGGCCCAAACUCCUACGGGAGGCAGCAGUAGGGAAUCUUCCGCAAUGGACGAAAGUCUGACGGAACAACGCCCCGUGAGUGAUGAAGGUUUUCGGAUCGUAAAGCUCUGUUGUUAGGGAAGAACAAGUACCGUUCGAAUAGGGCGGUACCUUGACGGUACCUAACCAGAAAGCCACGGGUAACU
rnacentral:rRNA from 2 species